GCAGUGGUGGGUCAAUGUUAGAGUUCUUAUCUGCUGUGCAGGAGACCCGGGUUCAAUUCCCAGCCAGUGCA
rnacentral:tRNA from 1 species